AGAGUUUGAUCAUGGCUCAGGGUUAACGCUGGCGGCGUGCCUAACACAUGCAAGUCGAGCGGGGGCUGGACACUCGCAAGGGUGUCUGGUACCUAGCGGCAAACGGGUGAGUAACACGUGGGCAACCUGUCCUCUUGUGGGGGAUAACACCGAGAAAUCGGUGCUAAUACCGCAUGACAUCGUUGGUGGCAUCAUUGGCG
rnacentral:rRNA from 1 species